GGUCGUAACUCCAAAUUUGCUAGUUUUGAGUUAUAUGGUGUACAAGAUUGCCGAAUUGAUUCUGCAUCUUUUGGUAAAAGAGUCGUAAAUCUAGGUGAAUUAGCGGCCGAGAGAUGGCACUAAGAAGAUUUUUAGUGAACAUCAAAAUAUCUCUGAGGGUUGUGGCAACAGUGUCGUAGUCAGUGUUACUAUGGCAGUCGUUGAGGUAACAUCUCUCGAAUUUUGUUCAUGACUGUUAAUUUACUCAUGAUUAAUUAAUGAUGUCCCGUGGAUUGAAAUGUGUGCAAAUGGCAUUGCAAAGAAGAACAAAAUUGGAACAGGCUAGUGAGAAAGACGGAUCGGUAUCAGGUGAGUGAUGCCUUCCUUUGUAAUGGUUAAGAGUGUGGGGCUUAUAGCAUGGUCUGGCUCCAAACAGUCUUGGAGUAGGGAAUAGCCUAGACUGGCCACUGCCAGUCUAGGAACAGGGCCCGGAUUGGCCCCUGCCAGGCCAGGAAAUACAUUCUAAAAUGGGAUGGAUGGGAAUUGGAUUUAUGCAGGAUUGAGUAAAGCUGUAAAACCGAAUGGAAAAGAAAAGCAAUGUGAACAAGAAGAUACAGCAGCUGGAAAUAAUGGAAUACAGGAUGGAAAUGAAGAAGUUAUGGGGGAAAAUGUAGAAUUAACUGCUAUAGAAGGAAGAGUGAAAAUCAACAAUGUGGAAAUGAGUACCAGUGAAUUAGUUAGCCCCCAAAAAACAAAGAAACGAAAACUGAAGCAGAGUGAGUGGAAACGGAAUAUGAAUAAAAAGAGGAGAAACAUGGGACUUGCUUAUGAAUCGGCUGCAAAGAAACAGAAAGAGGCGCGGAAAAUCAAACCACCUUGUAAAGAAACUUGCAGGAUGAAGUGCACCAGUAACAUAUCUCAUGAUCAAAGACAACACAUUUUUGAAUCAUACUGGAACCUAGGGGAUAUUGACCUUCAAAGAGAAUACAUAGCAAAAUGUACAAAGGAAGUAAAGCCAAUUUACAGAUGCAUAAGGGAAAAAAGACAGCGUGGACCAAGGGGAAACAACAUUUGGUAUUCCUUCCCAGUUGAUGGUACAUUAACAAGAGUCUGCAAAACAUUUUUCCUCAAUACUCUUGACAUAAAUGAUAGGGUUACUAGGACAGCAUUAACUAAACAGAAGAGAGCAGCAGGAUUGGUGUCUGAAGUAGAUAACAGAGGAAAACAUAAAAACCAUCCUACGCUUGAUCCACAAAUCAAAGAAGGAGUUAGAGCUCACAUAGAAGGAAUUCCUAGAAUCGAAAGUCACUACACCAGGGCACGGACAGCUAGGGAAUACAUUUGUGGGUCUCGAAGCCUGGCAGACAUUCAUAGGGAUUAUGUCCAAGAAUGUAAAGAUAAGAAGAAGCCCUAUGCAACUUACUCAAUGUUCUACAAUAUUUUUCAGAAUGAGUACAAUAUCGCUUUCUUUGCUCCUAAGAAAGAUCAGUGUGACUUGUGUGUGUUGUUCAAUAAUGCAGAUGGGGAAGCUAAGGAAAACUUAAAAGAAAAGUAUGACACACAUCAAUGUGAAAAGGUACUUUCAAGGGAAGAGAAGAAGCAAGAUAAAACUGAAGGAAAUGCUAUAGUUGCUGUGUAUGAUCUACAAGCCGUACUGCAACUUCCACAAGGUGAUGUAUCCACCUUCUAUUACAAAUCAAAAUUUAAUGUCCUAAAUUUCACAAUUUAUGAUAUCAAGACUAAUGAAUGUGACUGUUUUCUUUGGGAUGAAACAAAUGGUAAUAGAGGAGUGAAUGAAAUAGGCUCUUGCAUCCUAAGUUAUAUUAAAGAAUUAUGUGAUAAGAAUCAAGGAGAAGACAACAUUGAAAUAAUUUUCUAUUCUGAUAACUGUGCUGGGCAACAAAAAAACAAAUUUAUGCUUGCAUUGUAUUUGUAUGUUGUCACUAAUUUGCCUGUUAAGUCAAUCACCCAUAAAUAUCUGAUAAAAGGCCACACACAGAAUGAAGGCGACUCUGCGCAUUCUCUGAUUGAAAAACAAAUAAGGAGACUGAAGAAAGGGGGACCAAUAUUCGUUCCUGAAACCCUUGUCACUGCGAUUCGCUCUGCAAAGAAAACAGGCCAGCCGUUCCAAGUUCGCGUAAUGCAGUAUGAUGACUUUAAAAAUGUGAAGUCUCUUACUACACAAAUGGGAGCAAUCAAUGUCAAAGAUUUAAGAUUAAGUGAAAUCAAAGUCAUGAAGUUUGAAAAGCAAUGUCCAGCCUCAGUCUUAGUGAAAUAUUCAUACAGUGAUGAAUUCAAACGUGUUCUAUUGAUCAGAAAACCAAAGGUUGCCACAGAUCUCUUGCAGUGUUACUCAGAGAAAAUUCCCCUAAGCGAAAAUAAGAAAAAAGAUCUUAAAGAACUCUGUGAAAAAGGCUUAAUCCCACGUCCCUAUUCGGACUUUUUUAACAACAUUACCUAAUUUUGAUGCUUAAUUGGUCACAAAGAUGUAAUACUUAUCAUUCAUUUUUUUUUUAUAACUGAGUUACGGCCAAGGGUAACAAAAAUUUAAAGGAAAUACUUGCUUCAUGUAAUUUAAACCUAUCUAUUUGAAAGAUUUCAUUAAUUUGAAGGAAAUUGUUUGCUUUAUGUGGCUGAACCAAUUGAUUUGAAAGAAAAAAAACUUUUUUUUUUUUUUUUUUUUACUUUUUUUUCUUGGUAUGCAUUUUGUUGGAAGAAUAACAACAGAAUAUAAUGGUAUAAUAUAUUUCUGAAUAGGUACACAGCAUUUAUGAUUUAUUUCAAUUUGUUUUGUUACUGAAUGGAUAAAUACUGUUCUUUUUGUAAGGAAUAUUUAGUUUUAUAAUAAACUGGAAUCAUA